rnacentral:tRNA from 1 species
UAGAAAAUAGUAUAAUGGAAGUACGUGGAGUUUUGGACUCUGUAGCAUAGGUUCGAGGCCUAAUUUUCUAG